UACAAGUAUCAAAGUGGAAGGUUAUGUUUAUUGUACUAAUUGUGGUUCACUUUCUCAAACUGGCAUUUUGGGUAACAGAAAUUCAUCCCAUCUUUUGAAUUCUUUUUAAUCUUGUUAAAUCUUUUAGGUGCCAGGGUAAAUCUGGUUUGUCUAGGAGACAGUGAUUCAACAUUUACAAAUAAUAAAGGGUUCUUUGAUAUCUCUGAAUCAGUGAAAACUGGAACAGAUAUUGGGAAUUGCCGAGUGAGUGUGGAUGUAAGUAGAACACCCAUAUCACCCCGGGGGUGUUCUUUCUUAACAGACAUAAAUGGUGGGUCAAGUGGCCAAUCCUUAAGCACAUGCAUCAAUAAUGGAAACAACAAAUUCACUUGUGGACCAUAUUAUUUUACUCCAAAUGUUUGUCCCCCUCCACCACCACCAAAAACACCUCCACCUCCACCACCUAAAACACCGCCCCCACCACCACCAAGAACACCUCCUUCUCCACCACCUGAUGCGAUCUUGCUAGAGGCAAGGAGGCAAAAGAAGGAUUGGAAUCACUACUAGGAUUGGGCUCAGCAAUACGAGACGUUGCUCGAAGACGAUGUCUUUGCAACAGUGAUACAAGUAAGUAUCACAAACAACAGUGACACAAACUCUCAGCUAAAGUUGUCUUUUUUGGUUUCCUCUCCCUAGGCAUUGCAUUACAAGCUUCACAACGAUCCAUGGCGAGCAAAGCUCCCGAAAAGAGAGUGGGGAAUCCCACCAAGUUGCGGUAUCAAUCACGCAUGACAAACUUUUUUUGUUCUCUCAGAGAAGACCCAAAGAAGGAAUUUUUACAUGACACGUUUUUAGGGCUUCUAUGUUCUUCGAUCUUAAUGUUUAUGGUGAUGGCAGGCAGCUGGGAUACACCGGCGUCGAAAUUCCUCACAUUGUCAAGGCCGUGAUGCGCGAGGAGUGCCGACUCGCAGCAUUGCCUGAGUCUCCAACAAGAUCCCAUUCUGGCAGUACUCGAGAAUCAGAGUCGUGGUCGUGGAUCAAGUGUGAGCUGGCAGCUCUCAAUCCUUCCAAUCCCGUGAUUCAAUUUUAUGAUGUGGUUGCUGUCCAGCUGAUGAACCAGCAAGCGUUUGCUCAAGCUUGCACAACCAUGGAGGUAAGAACGAGAAUUUUCGAUCUCUCUUCUAUUGCUUUCUCUCUUGGUUGAUGUGAUAAGCUUGAAGAAGUUGUCUUUGAGGAUCAAAUCUUCUCCCUUGACAUAUAGCCUUUCUUAGUCAAUCUAUACCUGGAAUAUUCAAUUAUACUCUAAUUCGUUUGUAAUCAAGGUUUAAUGCUAUGUAUCACAGAUAAAAACAAUCUACAAUGACUUAAGAUCCACUCAAUUGCAGUAACAAAUUCCUUGAAUCCAAGAAAAUUUUGCCACUUAGAAUCAACCCAGUCUUGAGAAGAGGAAUUAUGCCCUCUUGAGAAGAAGAACAGAUAGGAAUUAUGACCAAAAUCAUUCCAUACCUGCUUGAGAUCUGUCUGGGGACACCAAGAAUUUCACUACAUCGGUGCUGGUGAUACACACAUCCCCAUCUGUGGCGAGAAUAUAUUGCUAGCAAAGCAAACACUAUUGCCACCACCACUAUUCCUAGCAUUACCGCCACCACCACCGCCAACAGCACCAUUGCCUCCUCACCAGCAUCAACAUCAACUUUGUGCAAUGCUUUCUCAAAUUCGCCCCACUCCAGGCUAGGUAUUAGGGGAUGAUAUUCUUUAUUGGCAUGCUCGUGAACAAGAGGGCUGAGAGUUGCGUAGUUAGGGAUUUUUAUGAGGAGGAGCUCGGGAACUGCCACCAAAGAGAACUAUCAGUGAAGUACUUUUUGAUUUUAUUGGAUUCUGGUCAAGGCACCAAAAUGCUUUGGAAAAUCAGUCAUCUAAUAUCUAAAACUUUAGAACAGUAUCACAAAAUCUCUAAACUCCACAUUGCAUGGCAUUCUCUAGCCCCUAAACAACUGAUCGCUAGCUUGACAAGAUCAUGAGGUGGUGCUCUUGCAAAAAAUGUAGCUCCUCCUCAUAACCCCUAGAGCAACCCAUUCAUGGUUUGGAGGCCUGGGUGCCAACUCACACAUAUCACUAUCCUCUUGUCCACACAAAGCUAGUAAUUACACUGUAAAAUCUAGUUGGUGAGGAGCACUCUAGCAAGUUUUGAUCUGAAAAGAGCUGGCAAAGAGUUGAGGUGUAUCUUGCUUUUGAUUUUAAAAUACAUUUAUCUUAAUAUUACUCAAACCCAAAAAAGUUUAAUGCCAGGAAAGGGAAUACAGAAAAUAUGCAUAUCAAUUAACCUAAAAACCCUAGCUUAUAUAUAAGAGCAAGUGGCCUGGAUUGAAACCAAUCUGACAACUACCAAAAUCCCACUAUGAUAAUAUUAAUAUACGGCAUCGUAGCCGUACACUUGGCCCUCACAUCAUCCCCUCUUGGAAUAAUGGAAGACCAUUAGGGUUCUCUUGUAGAUGGGCCGGGAUUUGGAGGAAUGUCAGGAGGAUGCAUCGGGGCAUUAAUUGCUCCUGAUCCCUUUGUAUGAAGCGUUUCAACCAUUGCACAUGCACAAUCUUUGGAGGAUUAGCCUGCUGGACGUCAUGCCAAACCUCAUAAACUGGUGGUCCAACUUGUUGCAACACCCGAUACGGUCCUUUCCACUGCGCAAGGAGCCCCUUAUAUAAACUACGUACCGUAAGAUGGGGAAAACGGACCAACACCAAAUCAUCCACUUUGUACUCCAUAGGUGGACGAUGAUGGGAGUUGUAGCACCGUUGUUAUCCCACUUGUACGCGGCCUAAGUGUUCGGCAGACUCAGCUCGGACAAGUGGAAGAAUGCUCGUCAAAUACUAAUCUCACGACCUAACAUUGGCAGCUCAUGGCAAUUGCAAUGGUAAACCUAGCUCUGUUGGUAAUAUUAGAUCAUGACCAUAUAGGAGUUUAUAUGGUGAAGCACCAAUAGAACUUUGCACCACUGUGACAUAUGUAUACCGAAGAAAUGGCAAAUAACCAUCCCAAUCCGAAUGCUGAAAGUUCACAUACUUCGCAAUCAUCCCCUUGAACGUCCAAACGAGCCGUUCCACCAGACCGUCUGAUUGUGAAUGAUAAGCACUUGUGAAAGUGUGGCGAAUCCCCAACCAAGAUGUCAAAAUAUGAAAUGCCUCAGCCAUAAAUGCGGGACCAUUAUGCGAAAGAAUCCGCUCUAGACAAGAAUGCUGGAACACCACUCGAUUGAGAAGGAAGUAUCCAAUAGCAGUUGCAGAGGCACUAGAAAGAGCACCAACUUCCACCCAACGAGUCAAGUAGUCAAAAGCAAUAAUAACAUACUCAUUGCCAGCAGUCGACCGUGGAAAAGGUCCCAUAAGAUCGAAUGCCACUAACUCAAACGGACGGGAAACUACAAUUAACUCCAACCGUCCUUCCGUAGCCCAAGGGGGAGUAUUACGAGCUUGGCACCAAAUGCAGCUACGCACAUACCGAAUAAUAUCACGUCACAUCUCCGGCCAAUACAAAGACCUGCGUAGCUUCUCGAUUACACGACGAUGUCCCAUAUGCCCACCUAGAACAGGAGAAUCAUGGUAGGUAUGGAAAAACCGUUGAAUAAAGACAGAAAGCACCACUAGCCGUAAAUGAUCAUCAAGAUCCAUCCCUACAAAAUAAAGAAGGCUGUCGUCAAGGCGAUAUUAAGAAUGUAAAUGCCGGAAAGGUAAGUCAUCAGCAAGUGAUGCAGGAUUCUCAAACCCAUCUCGAAGCCUUCGAAUCCACGGCUCAAUCUUUUGAGCCUCGCGAACCUCAUCAAGAGAAGGUAGAUCUUGCUCUAUGCCUUGUGGACACUAAACAUCAAGUACAACAACUGCUGAGGGCACAGAAUCCUUGUCUAGAAAAUCCACAUAUGCAAGAGUAACAGGCUCAUCAGAAACAUGAGAAGAGAGUGGAGAAGGAAGAGGAGCUCGAGAAAGGGCAUCAACAUUAUCCAUAGAACUCGUUGGAUGAUGAACAACAUCAAAAUCAUAUAUUUGAAGCUUCAAAGCCCAUCGAGCAAUACGACCAACUAGGUUCUUCCGCUUCAAUAAUGAAGUAAUAACAGCAUAGUCACCUUCAAGUAAUGUCCGAGAAGCAUGUAGAUAUGCAUGAAGUUUCUCAAAACCCCAGACUGCUGCUAAACACUCUUUCUCUGUCGUGGAGUAGUUCAUCUCCGCUGGUUGUAAUGUACGGCUGAUAUAUGCAAUAGGAUGAUGCUGACCAAGCACACUCAAGCUCUCUUGCAUCAACACACCCCCAAGACCAAUAUUAGAAGCAUCCACACACAAAAUAAAAGGUUAAGUGUAGUCAAGAUAUGCCAAAACCGAAGGAGUCGUCAAUAGCUCUUUGAGAUCCAUGAACGCCCACUCACAAUCCAGAGACCAAAUGAAGAUGACUUUGAUGACUUCAGCAAUGCUUGCAACAGUGUAGUGCGAUCAGAAAGAUGAUCCACAAAACGACCAAGAUACUACACCUUGCCCAAGAAGUGCUACACAUCAUUCAUACACUUCGGAGUGGAUCAAAACAUCAUCAAUGAAGUCAGCAGCCACCUCUGGCAUAUUGCAAAGAACUUCGUCCAUCAUCCACUAGAAGAUUGCUAGAGCAUUGUUCAAACUAAACAGCAUCACUAAGAACUCAUACAAACCAAAUAGUGUACGAAAAGCAGUCUUAGGAAUAUCUUCUUUGGCCAUUAGUACUUACUAGUACUCAGAAGCAACAUCCAGCUUGGUGAAAUCUUGAUCUCCUUGGGUGACCGACGACGAAUAAGAACCUUGAUUGGACGAGCAUCCCCAGUUGGAAUUGGAUGACAUGUGGCAAUCUUGGCCCCAAAUGAUAGGUCAAAUUCAAAGAGAUCAGAAUACUCCUUCAUAAGUCGGUCAACUACUGCAACACAAAGAUUGUCAGAGGGAUCGGAAAAGGGAAGAGCAGAACAAGAUAGAAACACAGGAGGAAAUAGUGGGGAAACAAAAGUAAUGGAAGCAGAAGUAGAAGUAGAGGGAUAAAGAGGUAUGGAAGUGAGAGGAAUGGAUAAAACGUAAGGAAGUAUGAGACAAGGGGGAGAAGCCUCAAAGUCACACUUAGCAUGAUUGCGCUGCAACCAAUCCAUACCAAAAAUGAGGUCAAAAGCUUGACUCGACACCGCAAUGAGUACAACUCAAGCUCGAAAUCACCCAUACGCACAACCAGGUCUGCCUCAUCUCAUGCACAUGUAUGUGUAUGGCCAUUGCCAUAAAGAAUGAAAACUGGUUUUGCCGCACGACGCAAGUGUAGACGACAAUAUGUGGCAACAGGUCGAGCAAUAGAAGAUAAACUCAAAUUUGUAUCAACCAACAUGGAGAGAAUAAUAGGAGACCUCUUGUUAUAAGAAUGAGCUUGCAAAGUAAACACUGGAUGAACUGGUGCCGAAUGAACCCCUUAAUUAUACUCCCGAAACAAAGAUGGAAGGGUCAUUAACUUAUUCGCGCAAGGUCACUCUGUUACUCGCGCGACUCCUUGUUUCCCGGAUGCAUCUCGGUGUCCAAACCUUCCACUACAGCAGCACAUCCGGGAUGUUGUUAAUGCCAAGGUCUUCACCCAGAAAAUGGAGGUUGCCAAUCUAGAAAAUGCCGACAACACCGAUAAGUAUGACCAACUUCAUCACAUGCCUAACAGCGAACAUCACGGCCAUGACUACAUCCUCGCCCUUGACCUUGGACUCGAGCAGCAACAGCAUCAACCUCUAUUGGAACAGGACCAUCACCCAUAGGAAGUGGAGCUGAAGGACGUGCAGUGAGAAGUGGAAGAGGCGACGUCUCAUAACGUUGUGCCAAGUGAAGAGCAUUGUCAAGGGUGGCAGGAGCAAGUGCAUGCACAAGUCUGACAAGAUCUUGACGAAGUGCUGGCUACAACAUUCCUAGCUUGAUCCGCUUCGAUAUAUUUGGCUCCGCACGAAGCAAAAGACAUCAGAAAUGAACACCAAAUUGCAUCACUAACUCAGAUGGCCCUUGGCAAAGACGAUGCAAUUGUUGGAAAGCAUCAUCACAGUCAUCGGCAUGUUCGAAGGCGCGUUUGAAGACAUCCGGAAGAACACUCCAAUCCCUGCGAGUGGCUGCUCCCAAACUGUUGUACCACUACAACGCCAUCCCUUGGAGACACGUGGGAAACUCACGCAAACGUCAAGCAUCAUCCCAAGAAUGAUAUGUGGCAAUCAUUGUAAAGUGAUCGAACCAAUGGUACACAUUUUCCCCAGGAUUCCCGCGAAAGAACUCCGGCCGAACGCGAGGAUUGGCACCAAGAGCAGGAGGAGUUGUACCAUGUGCCGUGAAUGCCACCAUCAACUGAGUUUGGUUGUUCAAUUGCAAUCGCAUAGCAUCAAGCAAUUGUACCAACUACUGCUCCAGAGUCAAAGGAGGAGAUUGCUGAUCUGCCAUAAAGAUGAAUGAAAAGGAAAGAGCAAAAUAAGAGAAAUGACAAAAUGCUAGAAGGAAAUGGUAGAUCUAGACAAUGCAAAAAGCUAGAUCUAAACCAAAAUUCUGAAAGGAAGGAACAAAAGAAAGGAAAUGGAAAAAACUAGAUAUAGACAAUGCAAAAAUUAGAUCUAAACUGAAAUCCCAAAUCCAAGCACUCCCCAGAGACAAUCAAAGAUGCCCCUCAUCUCCACCAAUGUGAGUGCAUGGAGUAUGGAAAGGGAAUACAAAAAUGUGCAUAUCAAUUAGCCUAGCUUAUAUAUAGGAGCGAGUGGUCCAGAUUGAAACCAAUUCGACAGCUACCAAAAUCCCACUAUGCUAAUAUUAGUAUACGGCAUCGUAGUUAUACACUUGGCCCUCACAACAUAUAUAUAAAAAGAAAAUUAAAAUUUAAUCAGGAUUUUAGUUAAACACAAAGAUUAACCAAUCAAGCUAAGAUAUUCACUAGUUGAAGGUAGCUUUCAAAGUAAAAUAAAAGUAGAAUUUAAAAUCUAAUGUGGCCUUCUAACAACUCAAAAAUAAAACAAAAUAUUUAGAAGAUCACUCUGGGUUUGAAAAAAGUGUUAUUAGUCUAGCAACUUAUUAGUUUUACCUACAAAAUAUAGUGUAGGAUAUUUAUUAUAUAAGGGUGUUCUUUUACCUUAUAUUAAUAUGUGAGUAUGGAAAACAAAAAAAUUCUAUAUUUAAUUCUAUUACUUGCAGUCAUUCUAAAUAAUGAGAAUUUUUGUGAUGCCACUACACUGAUUCAAGUGGAAGGCUAUACUUAUUGUACUAGUUGUGGUUUAGUUUCUCAGAAUGGGAUCUUGGGUAAGAAAAAUUCAUCUCAUCUUCUAAAUUCUUCUAAUCUUGUUAAAUUUUGUAGGUGCCAAGGUAAAUCUAGUUUGUCCAGGAGACAGUGGUUUAUCAUUUACAAAUCUUAGAGGGUAUUUUGAUAUCCUUAAAUUAAUCAAGACUGGAACAAAUAUUGGGAGUUGCAAAGUGAGUGUGGAUGGGAGUAGAGCACCCCUACUCCCCUGGGGCUGUACAUUUUUAACAAACAUAAAUGGGGGUUCAAUUGGUCAAUCUUUAAGCACAUGUAUCAACAAUGGAAACAACAAAUUCACUUGUGGGCCUUAUUAUUUUACUCCAAAUGCUUGUCUGCCUCCACCACCACUACUACCACCCCUUAGAACACCACCACCACCACCACAAAGAACACCUCCUCCAACACCAACACCACUAUCACCUCCAAUUUCACCAGCACUACCACCUAGAACACCACCACCAUCACCACCACCACCACCUUUAUCACCUCCAAUUUCACCAGCACUGCCACCUACACCACCACCACCACCACCUUUAUCACCUCCAAUUUCACCAGCACUGCCACCUAGAACACCACCACCACCAAAAACACCUCCUCCACCAAUUACACCAGCACCAUUAUCACCUCCAAUUUCACCAGCACUACCACCUAGAACACCACCACCACCACCGCCACCUUUAUCACCUCCAAUUUCACCAGCACUGCCACCUAGAACACCACCACCACCACCACCUUUAUCACCUCCAAUUUCACCAGCACUACCACCUAGAACACCACCACCACCAUCACCACCACCUUUAUCACCUCCAAUUUCACCAGCACUGCCACCUAGAACACCACCACCACCACCUUUAUCACCUCCAAUUUCACCAGCACUGCCACCUAAAACACCACCACC
rnacentral:lncRNA from 1 species